AUAGAGAGAGAUAAGAGAGAUAGAUAGAUAGAGAUAAGAGAGUGAUAUGAGAGAGAUGAGGGAGAAAGAUAAGAGAGAGAGAGAUGAGAGAGAGAGAUAGAUAAGAGAUAGAGAUAUAUAUAGAGAAAGAUAAUAGAUAGAUAGAGAUAGAUAGAUACAUAGCGAGAGAGAGAUGGAGAGAGAAGAGAUAGAUAGAUAGAUACAUAGCUAGAUAGAGAUAGAUAGAGAUAGAUAGGACAGAGAUAUGAGGGAGAGAUAGAUAGAGAGAGAUAAGAGAUAGAGAUAGAGAGAAAGAGAGAUAAGAGAGAUAUGAGAGAGAGAAAGAAAGGUAAGUGAGAGAUAUAGAUAGAUAGAUACAUAGCUAGAUAGUGAGAGAAGAGAGAUAGAUAGAGAGAGAUGAGAGAGAGAGAAAGAAAGGUAAGUGAGAAUAUAGAGAGAUAGAUAGAUACAUAGCUAGAGACAAGAGAGAUAGAUAGAUAGAGAUAAGAGAGAGAUGAGGGAGAGAUAAGAGAUAGAUAUAGAGAGAAAGAAAGAUAAGAGAUAGAUGGAGAGAGAUAUGAGAGAGAGAGAAAGGUAAGUGAGAGAUAGAUAGAUAGAUAGAUAGAUACAUACAUACAUACAUACAUACAUACAUACAUACAUACAUACAUACAUACAUACAUAGCUAGAUAGAGAGAGAUAAGAUAGAGAUAUGAGAGAGAUAAGAGAGAGAUAGAUAGAGAGAUAAGAGAUAGAUAGAUAGAUAUAGAGAGAUAAGAGAGAGAUAUGAGAGAUAGAGCGGUGAGAGAGAUAGAGAGAGAUAUGAGAGAGAUAGAGAGAGAUAUGAGAGAGAUAGAGAGAUAAGAGAGAUAGAGAGAGAUAUGAGAGAGAUAGAGAGAUAAGAGAGAUAGAGAGAGAUAUGAGAGAGAUAGAGAGAUAAGAGAGAUAGAGAGAGAUAUGAGAGAGAAAGAAAGAUAGAUAGAUAUGAGAGAUAUAGAGAGAGAUAUGAGAGAGAUAAGAGAGAUAGAUAGAG
ensembl:lncRNA